GAUGAACGCUGGCUACAGGCUUAACACAUGCAAGUCGAGGGGAAACGACGGGGAAGCUUGCUUCCCCGGGCGUCGACCGGCGCACGGGUGAGUAACGCGUAUCCAACCUGCCUCUGACUGAGGGAUAACCCGUCGAAAGUCGGCCUAAUACCUCAUGGCAUCGUCUGCGGGCAUCCAACGACGAUUAAAGAUUUCAUCGGUCAGAGAUGGGGAUGCGUCUGAUUAGCUUGUUGGCGGGGUAACGGCCCACCAAGGCGACGAUCAGUAGGGGUUCUGAGAGGAAGGUCCCCCACAUUGGAACUGAGACACGGUCCAAACUCCUACGGGAGGCAGCAGUGAGGAAUAUUGGCCAAUGGGCGAGAGCCUGAACCAGCCAAGUAGCGUGCAGGAUGACGGCCCUAUGGGUUGUAAACUGCUUUUAUGCGGGGAUAAAGUGAGGGACGUGUCCUUCAUUGCAGGUACCGCAUGAAUAAGGACCGGCUAAUUCCGUG
rnacentral:rRNA from 1 species